AAUAUUUUGAUUUUGAUUUUUUCAUUAUAAACAUAAAAAAUGAAUAUUAUAAUAUUUAUUAAAAAUAAAUUAAUAAAAAAUUCGAAAGUAAUAAAGUGAAAUUUUUAAUUUUAAAGUAAUGUUUAGUGAAAGUAAAACAAAAAAGGAAAAAAAAAAUAACUAUAAAAGUGAGUAAUUCUCAUUAUUGAACUCUUGACCUCUUGCCCUCAAAAUCCCUUAUCUAUGUACUAU
rnacentral:lncRNA from 1 species